GGUCUUCUAUGAUGUUAAUUUACCUACAUUGUUUGAUUGCAAAUGAUGAUAUCUCAAUAUUCUGAGAAGACC